UGGGGAAUUUUGCACAAUGGGGGAAACCCUGAUGCAGCGACGCCGCGUGAUUUAGAAGGCCUUCGGGUUGUAAAAAUCUUUUUUAUGGGAUGAAAAUGACAGUACCAUAAGAAUAAGGACCGGCUAAUUCCGUGCCAGCAGCCGCGGUAAUACGGAAGGUUCGGGCGUUAUCCGGAUUUAUUGGGUUUAAAGGGAGCGUAGGCCGUUUGGUAAGCGUGUUGUGAAAUGUAGGAGCUCAACUUCUAGAUUGCAGCGCGAACUGUCAGACUUGAGUGCGCACAACGUAGGCGGAAUUCAUGGUGUAGCGGUGAAAUGCUUAGAUAUCAUGAAGAACUCCGAUUGCGAAGGCAGCUUACGGGAGCGCAACUGACGCUGAAGCUCGAAGGUGCGGGUAUCGAACAGG
rnacentral:rRNA from 1 species